AAACGACUCUCGGCAACGGAUAUCUCGGCUCUCGCAUCGAUGAAGAACGUAGCGAAAUGCGAUACUUGGUGUGAAUUGCAGAAUCCCGUGAACCAUCGAGUCUUUGAACGCAAGUUGCGCCCGAAGUCGUUAGGCCGAGGGCACGCCUGCCUGGGCGUCACAC
rnacentral:rRNA from 1 species